rnacentral:lncRNA from 1 species
UCCCAAUUGGUUACAUUAUUCUCCCUAACAAUAAAUUUAGCUACUCAUAAUACAAAAAGAAAAGUAAAAAUUUGUCUUAGAACACAUCACCGAGUUUGUAAUAAAGAUGUAGAAGAAAAAGUAGAAUUCUUGCACCAAGAUCUCCUUCCUCUUCCAAUGAAUGCUUCUAAUAUUCAAUUGUUUGGUGUUAAUCUUCUUGAAUUUCUCUUUUGAAUCUCCCUUUUUAUUGUCUUCUCUCCAAUAUGUUAAGAACCCUUCAAAGGUAUGAGAAAGAUGUAUUUAUACGUGCCCCUCCAUUUUAUGUAGAAGUAUGAUUUUUAUUUAUAAAACGCGCCCUAGUUAUUCAAUCGCAGCGCCUGGGCACUAUGGUUGCGGAGCCUAGGCGUUGCCUUUCGGGUCCAAAUUUCAUCUUUUUUUCAAUUUCGUACCGCCUAAGCACCGUCUUUCUGCCUCAAUUCCGUGUUUUUGGCCUCUUCAUCCACUUUAAUACCUCUUUUCACAUCGCUUUUCCUAAUCUUCAAAACAACACUAACAAACACAUAAAAAAUAUUAUAUACUCACAAGAUCUAGCAUUUAAUCAAGCUAAAAUUGUGCAAAAAUCAUGAGUGAAACAAACUCAUCAAAUACUCCCAAAUUUAACCAUUUGCUAGUCCUCAAGCAAACAAACAAUCCAAACAGUAAAAUCAUCCAAGGACGAUACCCACACAACUAGUCAGUUAGACAGCUUGUCUUUUUUGCUCAGCAUUGAUAACAUUAUAUUAUACUUAUGAAUGGUGUUAAAAUCACAAUGCAAGAACCAAACUUCCACUCAUACAACGCGAAGCGGGUAUGUGUGUGUGUGGAGGGUCAAGUGUAGCGCCGUACAUUCACAAGUUGGUUCACUUCCCAACCCUCAAUGGUCAAUUAUUUCCUUUCUUCGUUCGUAAGAUUCACACACCCCCCAAACUCAGUUCUUUUAUUCUCCUACCAUGGUGUAAUUCUAAAGUUCAGGUUUGUUUAAGAUUUUCUCACACCACUCUAAUUUGGGUUAGUUCAACCGGCAACAUCAACAAUUCAUUCAUGUAAUGAUUCUCCCAAUUUAUGAGUGUUUAACAAUCUAAUUUAUACUUAGUGAUUCAAACCCACUAGUUAUCUAGGCCCCCAAGAUUAGGUUUUUUUUUUUUUUUUACCUCAUCAUUUUUUCCACUUCUUGACCCCUGUAGCGAGUGUUAGGUCGGUAACUCCCCAAUUUUUUGUAUACCAAAGGGUACCAGGUUUCAAGAGACCCCUACGAACUUAAUAACACGAGUCAAAAAGGUGCAAUGUGAGACUCAGCUGAAUACAUGCAAUGCUUCUUCUCUAAUAAAAAGAAGCGAAAUUUAUAGGGAUUAGUUUUCUAGCAUUCGAUAAUCACCAAGCUUAUACCAGAAAAUUAAAUACACUCCACACAAUCUUUUUCACAUGCACGGAAUCACCACAAUCUUAAAUCAUUUUUUUCGCCGGUUAGAAUGCCCCAAAUUAUAAUGUAUACGGUUAAGGGGUAUUGACAUUCAUAGGUUACGGGAUUACACACCUAAGUCAUCUCUUUAGCCUAUGUGCAUGAGCCCUCAUGUUCCUGUACGACACUCAACUUAAUAUUCGUGCAUAAAUGUUAUACUGCUUUAUAUAUAUAAGUAGAAAAUCCAAUUAAGACAUAUGAUUCAUCCACAAUCCAUAAACUAAUACAUGCUCUCAAAUAUAUUCAUCAUAGCUAAUAAGACUAUCUAACUCACACAAGCAUGCUGAAGAUGAAAAUAC